UGCCUGUAGGCUCAUCUUCUGGCAUCAUUGUUCUGAUAAAAUUUGUAAAGGCCCGAUUGCCAGGUGAAUGUACUGCAAUAGCUGUCAAUGUUGAGGCUGGCUAAUGUAUAUGUGCAUCGUGGUGCGAAUGGACUGACCAACGAUGAAAUCUCCAAAGUUGAAGAUGCAGGUAACCAUGCAGACAGUGUCGACGGGGAAGCUGUGCGUAAGGAGAACCAGACACUGCUGAUGAGAAGAGCGCCCUCACCUCCUUUAUUGAGAGAAGCAAGAUGGAGGACAAGAUCCCACAGGACUUCCUAGAUAUGGUUCUUGAGAAUGUCAAAAAGAAGUAAUUCAGACAGAUGCCAGUCCUCGCCUCCGUCACUGAGACGGAGCAGUUCCCAAGAUUGCAGAAGGGAUCAUCAGAAUCUUAGGCAUUGAUCAAAGGCAAGGAAAGGACUCAAUCUUGUCAGAGAUGCAGUUUCCUUAGUGAUGGAGCAAGUCUAUCUGCAUUUCUACACUACUCAAAAGGAUCAAAGGAUCAGAAUUUUAAAAAAGGAUUCACAUUAUAAGAAAUAUGAGUGUCAUUUAAUGCGGUUAUAUUCUGGCAACACAAGGAGAGAAUCUUAAUUGGUUCCAGUCCAAUGCAAACUCUCUACAGAGUACUGAAUUCUCAUGACACUGAAGAACACUUAGGUCAGCAUCUUGUCCAGGUGUCCUACACGGCCCUAAAAAUAAUGGAAGUGGAGUUUGGGGAGAAUCUGAGUUAGAAUGAUAUCCUGAUAAUGUGAGGGCGCUAUUUUGAUUCGGAAAUUAUUACAGCUGAGAAGUGAUGCACUGAACCAAGAUACGAUAGGCAUCACCACAUGAAAAAAAACUGUCAACAGCUUUUUUUAAAACAAUAAUGCAUACUUCUGUACCACAUACGUCACAUUUUUAUAAUUAUCCACAAAUAUGAUGACGUGUACCAGUGAAAUUCAUUUCUGACCUAAGAAGCUGCUGUUGCUGAGAAAAUUGCGCCCUCUCUUGGUCAACCUUGGGGCUCAUUGGACUCUGAAACCCAUGAUGCAUUAUAUGUUAUUGUAUCAAAGUAGACACCUGGCUGAAAAUUUCCAAGACAAAAUGUCUGAUCCUUUGAUAUUUUUUGAGCAGUAUUUGUUGGUGUACAGUACUAUAAUGAACAGGGUAGAGUCCAUACAUGAUUCUUUGAGUAGCAUACCUCCUUAACUGUUCCGGUUUAAUUGGGUGAUAUUUCAAAGGCCCAAAAAUGGAACUUUUCCAAUUUCUGUAAAAAAAAAGGAGAAAGGGAUUCAUUGCUAGAGGGCGCUAUUUGCCAAAAAUGGGGUGCCAUUUGCAGAAAAAAGAGGGUGCCAUUUGCCGUCAUAAAAUGGUAGUUCAGAUUUCUGAAUUAUCAAUAUUGCGGAAAACUCGGCUUUCGAGUCAUUAUCGUCAUUCCUAAAUUUGUUUCUUUAAUUUUAAAGCAAUUUUCAAUGUGCAGUAAAAGUGCAUGGUAAAUUUUGGAGCCAAGGGGCAUGUUCCAUAUACCCAAUUAUUCAGGACAGUGAGGGUUGUAGUGUGUUCAUGACUUAACCACUUCCUGCCGGGGACUCCGGAAUCGGAGACGUAUGGUUUAUGUGCGUGGCAGGGGUCUCCGAACUCGGA